AGAGUUUGAUCCUGGCUCAGAAUGAACGCUGGCGGCGUGCCUAACACAUGCAAGUCGGAUGUGCCGCAAGGUGCAUGGCAGACGGGUGAGUAACGCGUAGGGAAUCUACCUUUUUGUGGGGAAUAACGCUCCGAAAGGAGUGGUAAUACCGCAUGAGACCGUGGCCUGGGAUGGUUACGGUGAAACCUGGGGACCGCAAGGCCUGGGGCAAAGAGAGGAUCCUGCGUCUGAUUAGCUAGUUGGCGGGGUAAUGGCCCACCAAGGCGACGAUCAGUAGCCGGCCUGAGAGGGUGAUCGGCCACACUGGAACUGAGACACGGUCCAGACUCCUACGGGAGGCAGCAGUGGGGAAUUUUGCGCAAUGGGCGAAAGCCUGACGCAGCAACGCCGCGUGAGUGAUGAAGGCUUUCGGGUCGUAAAGCUCUGUCGAGGGGAAAGAAAUGCAUUGAGGUUAAUACCUUCUUUGCUUGACGGUACCCCUAAAGGAAGCACCGGCUAACUCCGUGCCAGCAGCCGCGGUAAUACGGGGGGUGCAAGCGUUGUUCGGAAUUAUUGGGCGUAAAGCGCGUGUAGGCGGUCUGAUUAGUCUGAUGUGAAAGCCCUGGGCUCAACCCAGGAAGUGCAUUGGAUACUGUCAGACUUGAGUACGGGAGAGGAUAGUGGAAUUUCGAGUGUAGGGGUGAAAUCCGUAGAUAUUCGAAGGAACACCGGUGGCGAAGGCGGCUAUCUGGACCGAUACUGACGCUGAGACGCGAAAGCGUGGGGAGCAAACAGGAUUAGAUAUCCUGGUAGUCC
rnacentral:rRNA from 1 species